GAUGAACGCUAGCGAUAGGCCUAACACAUGCAAGUCGAGGGGCAUCACAUGAAGUAGCAAUACGGAUGGUGGCGACCGGCGCACGGGUGAGUAACACGUAUGCAACCUGCCUUCAACAAGGGGAUAACCCGUUGAAAAACGGACUAAUACCCUAUAACACAGGGGUCCCGCAUGGGAAUAUUUGUUAAAGGACAACCGGUUGAAGAUGGGCAUGCGUUCCAUUAGCUAGUUGGCGGGGUAACGGCCCACCAAGGCAACGAUGGAUAGGGGAACUGAGAGGUUUAUCCCCCACACUGGUACUGAGACACGGACCAGACUCCUACGGGAGGCAGCAGUGAGGAAUAUUGGUCAAUGGACGCAAGUCUGAACCAGCCACGUCGCGUGAAGGAAGACGGCCCUACGGGUUGUAAACUUCUUUUAACGGGAAUAAAGUGCCCCACGCGUGGGGUUUUGCAUGUACCGUAUGAAUAAGGAUCGGCUAACUCCGUGCCAGCAGCCGGGUAAGUCACACUACA
rnacentral:rRNA from 1 species